GCGUCUGUGGUGUAGAGCAUUCCCGCCCGGUCAGCCGAAGGUGCGGGUUCGAGUCCCGCCUGGCGCU
rnacentral:tRNA from 1 species